GAGUUGGGCGUGCCCGAAAGGGAGCCGUAACACAGGUGCUGCAUGGCUGUCGUCAGCUCGUGUCGUGAGAUGUUGGGUUAAGUCCCGCAACGAGCGCAACCCUUGCCAUUAGUUGCUACAUUUAGUUGGGCACUCUAAUGGGACUGCCGGUGACAAACCGGAGGAAGGUGGGGAUGACGUCAAGUCCUCAUGGCCCUUAUGGGUAGGGCUUCACACGUCAUACAAUGGCGCGUACAGAGGGUUGCCAACCCGCGAGGGGGAGCUAAUCCCAG
rnacentral:rRNA from 1 species